rnacentral:rRNA from 1 species
AGAACGAACGCUGGCGGCAGGCCUAACACAUGCAAGUCGAACGCCCCGCAAGGGGAGUGGCAGACGGGUGAGUAACGCGUGGGAACGUGCCCUAAGGUACGGAACAACUCCGGGAAACUGGAGCUAAUACCGUAUGUGCUCGAAAGGGGAAAGAUUUAUCGCCUUGGGAUCGGCCCGCGUCUGAUUAGCUAGUUGGUAGGGUAAUGGCCUACCAAGGCUACGAUCAGUAGCUGGUCUGAGAGGAUGACCAGCCACACUGGGACUGAGACACGGCCCAGACUCCUACGGGAGGCAGCAGUGGGGAAUAUUGGACAAUGGGCGAAAGCCUGAUCCAGCCAUGCCGCGUGAGUGAUGAAGGCCUUAGGGUUGUAAAGCUCUUUCGGUGGGACGAUAAUGACGGUACCCGCAGAAGAAGCCCCGGCUAACUUCGCGCCAGCAGCCGC